GUGAGGAAUAUUGGACAAUGGAUGGAAAUCUGAUCCAGCCAUGCCGCGUGCAGGAAGACGGCCCUAUGGGUUGUAAACUGCUUUUAUACGGGAGCAAUAAGGUCUAUGCAUAGAUUGAUGAGAGUACCGUAUGAAUAAGCAUCGGCUAACUCCGUGCCAGCAGCCGCGGUAAUACGGAGGAUGCGAGCGUUAUCCGGAUUUAUUGGGUUUAAAGGGUGCGUAGGCGGCUUUGUAAGUCAGCGGUGAAAUUUUGCAGCUUAACUGUAAAAGCGCCGUUGAUACUGUGAAGCUAGGAUUUGGUUGCUGUGGGCGGAAUGUGUGGUGUAGCGGUGAAAUGCAUAGAGAUCACACAGAAUAUCGAUUGCGAAGGCAGCUCACAAAGCCAAUAUUGACGCUGAGGCACGAAAGUGUGGGGAUCAAACAGGAUUAGAUACCGGGUAGUCC
rnacentral:rRNA from 1 species